rnacentral:lncRNA from 1 species
UAUAUGUAUAAGUGUGUCUUUUCGCCUUUCGGAGAGAGAUAGGGUUUCGUCGCGAAUUUGUGACCGAUCGAGGGGAAACGAAAUGGUGGGUUUGUUGUCUCCGUUGUGCUGAUCGCACUGGUAUAAUCCGUUCGCAAAUCUGACGGACGGAUCUGCGGAUAUUACGCGGUGAUCGAGGAGAGGUCUUAAAUGACAAAACAGUAUUCUUGCGAAAAGCACGACGUUUUAUGUACCGUUCUGCGUGAAACCGGAUGGGGAGGUGUGUUCCCGCGUUGUACACGCGCUGUGAGGGACUCAGUAUUAAAUACUAAGGUUU